CGAGUCUUAACACCGGGGUCAAUUCGAACACGAUGAACAGUGCUUCUCAACUUUCCGCUAGUCCAAAAUUGGAGCAUGUCAGCAAUGUUUACCCUAUGUAAAUGGUUAGAAUAAGGAGUCAGGAAAAGACUUACAAAACUACGUCUGGUUGGACAUUUACUUUGAUCCAAUCCAUAUCUUUAACAAAAUUAGGUGGACGAAUUUCCAAACCUGCUGCAUCCCUUUGGAAAAGCAGGGUAAUGGAACCGUAAUCUGAGUGUGCACCAGCAUCUUCAUCAUCUUCACGUCUUUCAACUCCUUCAGGUAUACUGUAUUUUAAAAGUCGAAGAACGUCCUCUUCAGAGCUAUGGCUCUUGCUGAAAAAAUCUGGCGGAAUUCCAAAUCCAAUGGCAAAAAAAUCCAAUAAUCUCAAUGUUAGUUUAUAACAAUGCCUUUGGAAUUGGAGAAAUUCAUCCAUGUGCUCCGCAAUAAACGGACAAAGGUUUUCUAAUUUUGGAUCUGGAAAUCCUGCUAAAUCAUAGGAUUCUUUCAAAUCACCUCUCGACUGGUGUUCCAUAUCUAACUUCUCACCAAAAUGCCCUGUGUAUCCACUAUGUAAUCGGCCACCCUUGAACAAAUAUUUCUGCUUUUCUUCUACAGGAAUAUCAAAAAAUUUGUCUGCAAGCUUAAAUGUACGAUCUAUUUCAUCUAGCGGAAUUCCAUGAUUCUUCAAAGAAACGAAUCCCCAAUUUUUACAAGCAUCGAGCAAUUCUUUCACGACAAUGGAAGUAUCAUUUUCAGAAAGGUCAAUGCACGGUACUUCUAAGGAUCCCAUUUCAAACCCAGUAUCGAUUAAGUGUUUGUAUUACAGAAAAAAAUAAAUUAAAACUUUAGCAACAAUUGUGUCAAGACGGUUAUAAUUAAUUUGUUUGGAAAUGGAUCACUAAAAGAACCCAACAUCUCCUGGACUUUGAUAACGUUGUCAAUUUCUGAGACUUUGAGUAACCCCAAAACAGGGAUCUCCUUUAUUGCGGAGCAAGUCAGAAUACUUUGAUAAGAUUAGGUCUUAUCAUUUUCAUGUAGGAUUUUUGAUAUUGUUAUCUUCAUCGCGGUGUAAUAUGUUAAUUCCCCAUAAAAAUUUGCCGACUUUGAGUGCGCCCGAAAGAAACACAGUAGGUAAUAAAUCUCUUAGAGUUGUAGUUUGAUGCUACUCUGUUGCAAAAAGGAGUGACACUUCCUUUUAAUAUGUGGAAUGUAAUAAAAUUGUGCGCGCUUGAGUUAAGAGUUCAAGUAAGAAUGCAAAAGCAAUUAUGCUUUGAAAUUGUUUUGAGACUUGGUCAUUUGAUUUAAUUAAUUUAUCUACUUUUUAGUAAAUAAAUAUUAAAUAGCACAAAAAAAAUGAUUAUUCUUGGUAAAUGAUUGAUUCGUGAAAGUAGGGUUAAGUGAUCCCAACAAGAGUUAUGCUGAAGACCUUCAUUUUUUGGAUAAUUUUCGCGUGUGUAAUAAACACUAAACUGUUUCCAUUUUCUAGGAGGAUUUAGCAAUAAACUGAGAAAUUUAGUCCAGUCAGAUUAUAUUUACCAUACCAUUAUACACUUUCUUUUUGGUGAUAUGAGCAAAAAACCCACUUUGGUCACUAAUGAUUUUGAAUAGGAUCAUAGGCAUUCGGUUGAACAAAAGCGGCAUUAAAAAUUUUAAUUUAUAAAACGAAUUAAUCUUGUAACUUGCCUGAGGCCCGUAUUGAUAUUUGUAUACCAUGGCAAGAAAGUAAAUAUUGUACACGAAGAUAUAUUGCAAUUUGAGCAUAGAAGUAAUUACAGUUUUAAUUACUAAGAAGUUCAAUUGGAGGAAAUAGAAUAAUUACAUUUGUUCAUAAACAUUGAACAGAGUCUACCCUACUAGCUAGCAGAAACGAUAAAACGUGUGGACGUAUUAGCAAAGUUUCAAGGAAUAUGCUUUUGACAUUAACAUAUGAGAUUGAAGCAGCUAUCUUCCUCCAUCCCAAAAGCCUUUAUGAGGGAUAAUAGCUUCAUCUUCAAUGUAGGGACCCACCACCUCAAUAGGAUGAGAGGCAGCUCCAAGAAUAUCUCGUGAAUUAAUGUAUAAAGGCGGGCACUCACCACUUUUCUGUGUCAGUUUAAUCAAAUUUUCGUUCGAUAAGCCAAAAAUCAUUCGGCGAAUACCAGACCAAAAUAUAGCACCAGAACACAUGGCACAAGGCUCCGUGCUGGUAUACAGAGUACACUUCUCAAGGUCUCUUCUUGUCUUCGUAAUCAAACCUACGGCACGGGUCUCAGCAUGUUGAGUUACAUCCCCGUCUGGAACUCGAUUUCCCGCAGACAUAAUAACAUUGUCAUUUUCAUCAACAAUAAUGCAUCCAAAUGGAUGUUGACCUUCAUCACGAGCUUGCUGAGAAACUUUGAUGGCCUCUCGUAGAUAAGCUAAAUCCUUUUCUGAAAGUUCAGUGCUGGACAUAUUGUAUGUUAAAAAAGAGACGCAGGUUGUGUUUUGACUAUAUGUAUGUAAUUUAUAAAUUGUGUUAAUUUUUCCAACUACAUGUUCAAAGAAACGACAUGCUAUCUAUUGCUACUUGGAAUUCGGGAAUUGUCGAUGAAUCGGUUGACAUCGAUUAUGAUCGCCGUUCUGGAAAGACAAUGUAGAGCAGAAGAGGUCAGCUCAGUGUCUGAAGUUAAUACAUCUACACAGUCGGUCUACGCUAAAACCAUCAAUGCUGUUUCGGUCGUCCAGAAUACAUGGGGAUUGAAACUCGCAUUUCCAGUCAUCAUUAGCCGAUUAGGAAUAUAAUACUACAUAAUCUAUUAAACAUUGCUAUUUUGCAAGUAUAAACUACUGUGCGACUAAAAAUUACGAGUGCUA